rnacentral:rRNA from 1 species
GACGAACGCUGGCGGCGUGCUUAACACAUGCAAGUCGAACGGAAAGGCCCUGCUUUUGUGGGGUGCUCGAGUGGCGAACGGGUGAGUAACACGUGAGUAACCUGCCCUUGACUUUGGGAUAACUUCAGGAAACUGGGGCUAAUCCCGGAUAGGAGCUCCUGCUGCAUGGGGGGGGUUGGAAAGUUUCGGCGGUUGGGGAUGGACUCGCGGCUUAUCAGCUUGGUGGUGGGGUAGUGGCUUAACAAGGCUUUGACGGAUAGCCGGCCUGAGAGGGUGACCGGCCACAUUGGGACUGAGAUACGGCCCAGACUCCUACGGUAGGCAGCAGUCGGGAAUAUUGCACAAUGGGCGGAAGCCUGAUGCAGCAACGCCGCGUGCGGGAUGACGGCCUUCGGGUUGUAAACCGCUUGCGCCUGUGACGAAGCGUGAGUGACGGUAAUGGGUAAAGAAGCACCGGCUAACUACGUG